rnacentral:rRNA from 1 species
GACGAACCGUGCGAACGUUGUUCGGAAUCAUUGGGCUUAAAGGGCGCGUAGGCGGGUGUUCAAGUCCGGGGUGAAAGCCUCCAGCUCAACUGGAGAAGAGCCCCGGAUACUGUUCACCUGGAGAGAGAUAGGGGCACAUGGAACUUCCGGUGGAGCGGUGAAAUGCGUAGAGAUCGGAAGGAACGCCGGUGGCGAAAGCGAUGUGCUGGAUCUUUUCUGACGCUGAGGCGCGAAAGCUAGGGGAGCAAACGGGAUUAGAUACCCCGGUAGUCCUAGCCCUAAACGAUGGGUACUGGGUUGCGGGUCAGACAUAGACUCGCAGCCGAAGCAAAAGUGUUAAGUACCCCGCCUGGGGAGUAUGGUCGCAAGGCUG